AGCCUUAUAUUCAAAAAUGAUAUUAAAUUGCAAAUUUAAAGGAAAAGUAAAUUUAACUUUUAAGGCUU
rnacentral:tRNA from 1 species